GGGCGGAAAUGGAGCGAGGUAAUUGGCUACUGGGUCCGUUUUGGGGAGGGUCCACACGUGUGAAACCUUAGAGUAAGGCGUGGUCUCGUGGAAACAAAUGGCAUGUAUAAAAUAAAACAUCUAUAAAAUUGACAAUUUUACUCCCUCGCAUGAGAGACGUGACUCAAGGGAAGAUGGUGUUGAAGGAGUCAUAAACGACAUCGUGACGACAUCGUGAAAAGCAAUAUGUUGUUUAGGAGAGCAGCGGAUCCAAGGGAUUAACGGGACUAUUGCGCAUGGAGUCAUAGGGCAUGUUGCAAAAACUAUUCGGAUCUGAAGUUGUAUUUCGACGGAAGAAUAGUGCAACCACACAAGCAUAUAUAUAUAUAUAUAUAUAUAUAUAUAUAUAUAUAUAUUAAUGUAAAAAACUAAGUAGUAAUACUGUAGUGUAAAGGGCCUGUUAUGCGUCGUAUUUCGUCCCAUGAUGUUAAUUCGGGCUCAUUCGGCGUUAAACGCGACAAACUAGUAAAGCCGAGUUGUGGUUUGCUACUAUAUGUCAAAAACGAUGUCCAACUUCUUCUGAAACAAUGGAAUUACAUUGUAAUUGUCACCAGUGGAUUGUCACCAGUGGUGUAGAAUAUAAAACUGUGUGUGCUACUGCCGAUCGCUAGAGAUCUGAUACUGUACACAUAACGUGGCCAAAUAUAAAUAACAUAUGCUUCUUCCAAAGACUCACGACACUAAAAUACUAAAAACUAAAACUUUGUUAGGUUUAUACAUUUCACACAAACAUAUCAUGUUUUCCCUUAUCGUAUAUAAAAUAGGGUGACAAAAUACCCAUGAGCCUACUUAAGGAAAUAAACAUAUUUGGUUUAUUUACUUGUCUGCAGUCUAGAUCUUUUGGCAAUAACGAUGUAUACAUUGGACAGAGAAAAACAAAAACAAAUGGCCACUGAAACUUCUGUAAAACAACUCGAGCCCAAGUCUAGUGGUAUAGCCUCCCUCCAUAUAAUAACGCCAAGAGGAGAGACACCUCUCUGGCGGUUACAAUCCAUCUAAAUGUCAUCUGCGGAUAUUCCAGUUGUUUUAAAGUGACAAGAAGCAAUAGAACUUCAAAUAACAAAAGCCCGUGCGACUUCCUUUUGCAAGUGAAAAGAGGUGACGUUGCGCAUAGAAUGGCACUCAUCAGCCUAGUUCAGCCGCAGCAUAGCUACCGUGGGAACCGGACGGCUGCGAUUGUAAAUUGUUGUCGCGCCUUGCUGGCCUGGAAACCACACAAGCAUGGAUGGAUAGAGGAUAAAGCAGCUCACACCUCUGUUGACCAGGGACUGAAACAGAAAGGGGGCCAGGGGACGGUUUGAGUUACCAGGUGACCUUGAGCAGUGGGUCACGCUACACCACCAGUCCCAGAGGUGAGUGGUGGGUCACGUUACACCACCAGUCCCAGAGGUGGGUCACGUUACACCACCAGUCCCAGAGGUGGGUCACGUUACACCACCAGUCCCAGAGGUGGGUCACGUUACACCACCAGUCCCAGAGGUGAGCGGUGGGUCACGUUACACCACCAGUCCCAGAGGUGAGCGGUGGGUCACAUUACACCACCAGUCCCAGAGGUAAGCUGUCGGUCACGUUACACCACCAGUCCCAGAGGUGGGUCACGUUACACCACCAGUCCCAGAGGUGGGUCACGUUACACCACCAGUCCCAGAGGUGGGUCACGUUACACCACCAGUCCCAGAGGUGGGUCACGUUACACCACCAGUCCCAGAGGUGAGCGGUCGGUCACGUUACACCACCAGUCCCAGAGGUGGGUCACGUUACACCACCAGUCCCAGAGGUGGGUCACGUUACACCACCAGUCCCAGAGGUGAGCGGUGGGUCACGUUACACCACCAGUCCCAGAGGUGAGCGGUGGGUCACGUUACACCACCAGUCCCAGAGGUGAGCGGUGGGUCACAUUACACCACCAGUCCCAGAGGUAAGCGGUCGGUCACGUUACACCACCAGUCCCAGAGGUGGGUCACGUUACACCACCAGUCCCAGAGGUGGGUCACGCUACACCACCAGUCCCUGAGGUGAGCGGUCGGUCACGUUACACCACCAGUCCCAGAGGUGGGUCACGUUACACCACCAGUCCCAGAGGUGGGUCACGUUACACCACCAGUCCCAGAGGGGGGUCACGUUACACCACCAGUCCCAGAGGUGAGCAGUGGGUCACGUUACAACACCAGUCCCAGAGGUGAAGUCAAGUAAACCACUAUCACCAUCCAAUAUGAGAAGUGCCUCCAGACAACUUAGGUGAGUAAUAGUCUUUAGAUUGCCUAAAAGUCAAUGAAGACCUCCUGUUGAAAUAGAGCAAUAAGAUCAGCACAUAAUAGCCAUAGACAUCCAAAACGUUAUGCUAAUAAUUCAAGAAAAGUAAGAAAACAAACUAAGAUGUUGGCUACACCUCAUCUCAGGCUGGUUGAAGCCUGUCUACCACCAUCCUAAGAUAAGGAUGAAAUAAAUAAUUGACAGAAAUACGGAACGCCAUCAGUGAUAACGAGAGUUACCUUUUUAUAAAACAACUUAUUUCAUAAUCAACAAUAAAAUACAGGAUUCACAGAAUAUAGAAUAGUAUGAAGCCCCUUGUCACUUAUGGAAAAGUAGUUAAAAUCAAACCGAGUUUAAGAUGAAGAACAUAUACCGUACCAGUUAAGUUUUAGAACACCUACUCAUUCCAUUUUUUUAAAUAUUUUUUUUACUAUUUUCUACAAUGUAGAAUAAUAGAAGACAUCAAAACUAUUAAAUAACACAUAUGGAAUCUUUAGUAACCAAGGAGAGUGAUGGGAGUGCUGCAUCAGAUGACCUGGCCUCCAAUUACCCGACCUCAACCCAAUUGAGAUGGUUUGGGAUAAGUUGGACCGCAGAGUGAAGGAAAAGCAGCCAACAAGUGCUCAGAAUGUGGGAACUCCUUCAAGACUGUUGGAAAAGCAUUCCUCAUGAAGCUGGUUGAGAGAAUACCAAAACUGUGCAAAGCUGUUAUCAAGACAAAGGAUGGCUACUUUGAAGAAUCUUAAAUCUAAAAUAUAUUUUUAUUUGUUUAACACUUUUUUGGUUACUACAUGAUUCCAUAUGUGUUAUUUCAUAGUUUUGAUGUCUUCACUAUUAUUCUACAAUGUAGAAAAAAAAAAAAAACUUGAAUGAGUAGAUGUGUCUAAACUUUUGACUGGUACUGUGUCUUCAUAAAACAUAUACUCGGAAAAAAGCUUCCCAGACAGUAGACCGCAGACAGAACCAGAUCCAUUCACACAUAAAAAGACAAACCAGUCUUUCAACUCAUAAUAACAUAUGGCUUCAAAACUGAAGGAAAUUUGAAAGUCAAAUUUGUGUUAAUUCCAUUGUAAUAACAUAACCGUCUGUAGAACGGAACGUAGUAAACUAGGAAGAUAAAGUUUGACGAAAUGGAAAAGCACCAAAAUAGGUGUGUGAAGACAGUAAUCAGUAUAGUAGGCCUAGUUCAGUCAGCGGCCAUUUUGAU
rnacentral:lncRNA from 1 species